rnacentral:rRNA from 1 species
UACGGAGGGGACUAGCGUUGUUCGGAAUUACUGGGCGUAAAGCGCACGUAGGCGGAUUUGUUAGUCAGGUGUGAAAUCCCGAGGCUCAACCUCGGAACUGCCUUUGAUACUGCAAAUCUCGAGUCCGGAAGAGGUGAGUGGAAUUCCUAGUGUAGAGGUGAAAUUCGUAGAUAUUAGGAAGAACACCAGUGGCGAAGGCGGCUCACUGGUCCGGUACUGACGCUGAGGUGCGAAAGCGUGGGGAGCAAACAGG